rnacentral:tRNA from 17 species
AAUCCGUCGAUUUCAAAAAUCAUGAGGGUUCAAGUCCCU